rnacentral:rRNA from 1 species
UGGGGAAUAUUGGACAAUGGGCGAAAGCCUGAUCCAGCCAUGCCGCGUGUGUGAAGAAGGUCUUCGGAUUGUAAAGCACUUUAAGUUGGGAGGAAGGGCAGUAAGCGAAUACCUUGCUGUUUUGACGUUACCGACAGAAUAAGCACCGGCUAACUCUGUGCCAGCAGCCGCGGUAAUACAGAGGGUGCAAGCGUUAAUCGGAAUUACUGGGCGUAAAGCGCGCGUAGGUGGCUAAUUAAGUCAAAUGUGAAAUCCCCGAGCUUAACUUGGGAAUUGCAUUCGAUACUGGUUAGCUAGAGUGUGGGAGAGGAUGGUAGAAUUCCAGGUGUAGCGGUGAAAUGCGUAGAGAUCUGGAGGAAUACCGAUGGCGAAGGCAGCCAUCUGGCCUAACACUGACGCUGAGGUGCGAAAGCAUGGGGAGCAAACAGG